AGUGGAACUGCUGGGCCAGGGCAUGUUCUGGUUUAGGACUGACUGCCAAGCCCUUUCCCAAAGGAGUUGUUCCAAUUUCCAUUCCCAUCAGCAGA
rnacentral:pre_miRNA from 1 species